AUACUUACCUGACAGGGGAAAUACCAUGAUCACGAAGGUGAUUUUCCCAGGGCAAGGCUUAUCCAUUGUACUCCGGUUGUGCUGACCCCUGGGAUUUCCCCAAAUGUGGGAAACUCGGCUGCAUAAUUUGUGGUAGUGGGGGACUGCGUUCGCACUCUCCCCUG
rnacentral:snRNA from 1 species